GCCGUCGUAGCUCAAUGGCAGAGCAUUCGCUUCGUAAGCGAGAGGUUAUGGGUUCAACUCCCAUCGACGGCU
rnacentral:tRNA from 1 species